GGGGGGUUUGGGGGAAGUGUUCCAAAAUUACCUCAACCACGGCAGUUGAAAAGGCAUGAUUCACCCUUAUAUCUCCUGAAUCCAACCUCCCAAUAUCACAUUCAAACACCCUUCUAAGCUCAACCAGCAAAACCUCACACACCUCCACCACAAGACUUAGGUCGAAUUCAAGAAGCCGAAACGCGCUCAAACAGCACCGCAGAAGUAGCUUCGCAUCCUCCGCCAAAAAUCCCAGAUCCGCAGCUUUCGCGCCCACAUGAGGAGGGCGAAUCAAUUGCCCCGAUCGUCUCUUUAGCUCUUCGAAGAUAAAAUUUGAGACAUUUAAAACAUCCGCAAAAUGUGAUCCCGAUUCUGAACCAGAAAAGUUGGAGAGUAGGGUAUGCAGCUGCUUCAGGAAAUCGGCCAUCAGAAAUUGAGAGGAAGCAGGAAUCAACAAACCCUAAUAAAGCAAAAUUAGGUUAUAAUUUGAAUAUUUUUUUCCAAAUAACGCUAAAGAAUAUUAUAAUUGGCUAAGUAACCCUACUAAAAAAAUAUUUGACAAAAUAACCCUCCUUUUCCCAAGUCAGGAUAAAAAAAAAUUUAAAGCAGUGAAUCAUUCACCGUCUCGUUCACCGUCUUUAAGAGACAGUACCUGAUUUACCGUCUUCGACGGUGAACGAUUUACCGUUUUCAUAAUUUUCUAUUAUACCGGUCGGGAUUAUACAUAAGAAAGAGAAAAAAAAAAUGGUUAGAAUUGUAUGUGGAUGAUAUGAAAAAUAGAAAAAAAUAAGAUUGUUAGGAUUAUACGUGGAUUAUUAAAAUUUUUAUUUGAUUGUUAGGAUUGUAUGGAUAGAUUAUUAGGAUUUUCAGAUUGUUAAGAUUAUAUGUAAUUUGUUAAAAUUUUUAUGUAGUUGUUAGGAUUAUAUAUGGGAUAUAGAAAGAAAUAGUAAAUAAGCGAAAGACGUUGAAUGAUUCACCACUUUUGUAAAAAAUUAGGAAGAAUCGUUUACCGUCUUCAUGAAGGUGGUAAAUCGUCCACCAUCUUUAUGAGAAAAUUUCAACGUGGCUCUUACAUGACAAAAAAAGGAUUAGUUUGCGAAAAAAUUUCAUAGGAUUAUUUACCCAAUUAGAAAAUUUUAUAGGGUCAUUUUGAAAAAAAAAGGUCCUUAUAAAUUUUCUUUUGAAAAACAAAACUAGGAGAGAGCAGAGGACGAGGGAGAUCACCUGUGGAGAGAAAAGUGGCUUCCGGCUUAAAAAGAAAGAGAGCAGUUGGCGAUCAAUUUUUCCUUCAAAAUGGUCUAACCAAAACCUAUGUAACAACCUAACGACUCGCAACCUAUCGAUGAUGAAAUCGCUGUGAGACGAGGAUGGCAGGAAGGAUGAUGGAGUCCUCUAUUUAUCUCUACUAGGUGAGAAUUAAAGAGUUUAGGAAAGGUUAGGAAGAGGUAAAGAGUGGGAAUUUGGAAAAAGUUGGCUAAGAAGAGCAGGAUUAGAGGGAAGGAAAUUGGAAGGUAGAGAGGAAAUGGAGGGAAGAUGAUAGGGGAAGAAGAAGAAGAUCCAAAUAAAAGUGGAGAGAGAGAGAAUUUGGGAAGAAAGAAAGUAGUAUCUAUACUUACUAGUGUAGAGCUAUUAUACUGUCGAAAGUAUAAAAGAGUUGGUGAUUUCGAUUUUUUAACUAUUGGAUCAAGAAUUGUAGGGUCAAGAUAAUAGUAGUCCCCUUCGAUUUUUUAACUAUAGGUUUAGUGCAUAAAACAAGGAAUCUAAAAACUAUUGAUCACAAGCAGAAGACGCAAAAAACAAGGACGAUUAAUUGAACAUAUGCCUUUUACAAAUUAAGACAGAAACUAUAGGUUUAGUGCAUUAUUUGUUUUGCCUGGGAUCAAUUGGAUUAUCCAGCUCUACUCAUCUAGCUAAGGUUAGAAAUGAGUAUCUUAACAUGUGUAUUGGCAAUUUGAAUUAUUGCUGAGGUCCACAUUGUGGUUCUCGAAGCAUUAAUGCGAGACCUUACGAGGUUUUCUGAAACAUGGUUGAGAACUCAGAUUGCAUAUUCAAUGCUGCAAGGGAAAGCCCUAGAAAACACAUAUAUGCAGCAGGAAAUAAUAUACAAAAGUAGAAAAAUUUUCAUGGUUAGCGUUCACUUCUAAAAGCCCAGCUACACUAUGUAAACAUAUACCAAAUGGGCUUUAAAUAAAGCCACAGCUUAAGAGCACUGGAAUUUAGCAAUGUAAAAUUUUUACAGCUUUAUGUAUCAUGGGAACCUUGAGAAAGACUAAGAUAUUAUAAGCAGAGUAAAUUUUAUUUACAUAAUAGAGAAUAGAAAAACAUUGUAGACAAUUACAGGAUUAACGAUGCCAGUAACACAACACAAUCUCAGAUUCUAGCUUAGAAUAAAAGGAAGAGAUGAAAGAUGCAAGUCCCAAAUAUGAGACUCGACAAAAUUAUUGACAAACUACUAAGACCAACUAUUAACAUAACAUUCAAUUCUUAAGAGAAUGAUUCAAAUUGCCAAUACACAUGUAAAGAUACUCAUCACCACAUAAAGCGGUCCUUUCAACUGGAAAUUCAUCAUCAUAAUAUAGAGUAUCUUUGUAGGGUUUAUAGGGCACAGGUUUGCGGGUGUGUUCAAAAUAAUACAAUUAGUUUGUUUUGCUCAGAUUCUAAUGAUAUUUUUUUUUUUGCUGCGACAGACACAAUAGCUUUUUAAACUAGAUAUUUUGCUUCUGAUUUUUUACGGGCUCAUUUUAACUUUUCCUGGAGCACAAACUUUGGACAUUUAAUUUAAUUUUUUUCCAGAUGCUGCUUGGAGUAGAGAAACUAUAUAAAGAUCAGGCAAAACAAAGGCUAAAAAUUAUCCUCAAUAAAUUCCAUCCUUAACAUGUGGGUCGGAUGCUUUCAACCUCCACAUCAUUAAACAAGAGAGCAUUCUCUAGCUCUGCCCAUGGACAAGAUCUUAACUCUAUAUCCGAACAAUUUUUGCAAUAACCAAUCAUAGUUAAAUGCCUAAGCUUUUUGUCUCUGAAGUGGUAGACAAGUAAACAAGAUUAAGUUUUACUCUGUUUCAUGACUCUACCUUUUAGCCUCAGCCAAAAAUCAGUGAAAAAAGGAAAAUAAUAUCAAAGAUAAUGAUUUGUAUUCAAGCAAGUCAAAAUAACUGUGCAUUCAGAAGAACACAGGAAUGAUCACAAAAUUCUGAAGAGCACUUGGGACAAUGCAAUUGUGUCCUUGUGAUGAGGCUUUUUCUGACAGAAAUAUGCAAUAGGAUACAUAUAACCUUAUCCACCUUAACAUCUCUAUAAACAGCAUUAUUCGGACAGCAUUUUGUUAACCACUGCUUAUGAAGUAUGGGUAAAGAACUAUUCACACGCAGCAUCUCGUUGAAAAUGUCAAACUAUUUUCAUUUCCCGUCACGGCAGUUUCAAAUCCUUAAUUAUCGAUGACAAUUUUGUGUAUGCUAGCUUUACCGGAAGUAAGCCAGAGUAAAACACAAACUAAGAUGUUACAAAGGGGAAACACAUACAGAAACUCAUUUAAACAAUAAAUCCAUUCAAAAUCAAAACAAAUAAUGCACUAAACCUAUUUAAACAACAUUUUAUAGCAUCAAUACAAACUAGAAAGAUUUUGCUCAUGGCAUAACAAUAAAUCCUUCAAAAAAUCAAAAAAAAAAUUGGGAUCUGAAAUAGGAAAAGGAAACGGAGAAGAAAUUACCGCACGAACCUUGUUUUGGAGCAAGGAAACCUCAGAAAUGGCGAGCGAUGCCGCUGCGAUUGGCGGAGGUGAUCAUGGCAUGGAUGCCCUAGGUCGAGAGAAGAGGUCGGGGAGAAUCUCGCAUGGUGAAGGUGAUCAUGGCAUGGAUGCCCUAGGUCGAGAGAAGAGGUCGGGGAGAGUCUCGCAUGGUGGAGGUCAUCAUGGCAUGGAUGCGAGGUCGGGGAGAGUCUCGCUGUGAGAGGGGAUCGCGACGGGGUCGAGGAGAGUCUCGCUGUGAGAGGGGAUCGCGACGGGGUCGGGGAGAGUCUCGCUGUGAGAGAGGAUGUAACAACCCUGAAGAAUAAAUGGUAGAAAUAGUAGUAGUAGUAGUUAGCAUGGUAGAGUAGUAAAAAUGUCAACUUUACAAAGUAGAGCAGAGAAGUGACAGCAGGAGGUUGGUGAGGAGUGAGCUCCGCGGAGCGAUCCGGCGGGAAGGCGCUCGGGCGGAACUCCGGCGGGAAGGAGCCUUCGAAGGGGGCUCAGGCGAGCUCGACGGAGCUAGGGCAUCCUCAAAGCUCGGAGAGAGCGACGGGAGGUCCGACGAAAUCCAUGUAGUUGGGGCGAAGGAGAGAGCCGGCGGAUCGGGCGGUCGGAUUACCGGAUCGGGCGUAAAACGCGGACCCAAGCCCCGCCGGAUUGCGGAUGAUGCGGAGAAGGCAGGAACCGACGCCCACUUACCGCUACGCACGGGUCGGGCGAACCAGGAGCUCGGAUCGGGGCGAAAUGGCGAACCCAAAACCCGCAGGGUUGCGGGUAGUGCAGAGAAGGGCGGACCCGAGUCCGUUUGCCCGCCUCCCAGGCGGUUUGGACCAAACAAGCCCACCCGAGGCCCACAAGGCAACCGGAUUCAACCCAUCAGGCCUCAUUCCCCAUUUUUGACAAAUUGCUGUUAACCCCUAGUAACUUAGUUCGCUUACAUUUCAGUACAAGUUGCAUAUGCUACAUAUAGUUAACAGGAUGUAAUUGCAAGGCAUGAAUG
rnacentral:lncRNA from 1 species